GGCGAUGAGUUCAGCGUGAGAUCU
rnacentral:siRNA from 1 species